GGCGCAGUGUAACCUUGCUGGAAACCUGAAAGCCUCUCAACUUGGAGGCUGCUACUUGUGGAGGUAGCACUACAUUUCUGCUUCCUUUUGUGUCAUUUUUUGGCAGUACUUUCGUAUAGCCUCUGUUACUUUUUGACAGGAGUAUCAGCACAUGUUUGCUUCUGCUGGUGAAUAUUAAACCCAGUUGGUUUAACUCGUAACAGCCUGGAGGGGGGACUGCAGGGGCAGCAUGGACCAUCGGGAUCUUCUCACUGCCUACAGCACUGAUGCUGGCCAGCUUCUACCAGCUGUCUCGGGACUCUGAGGUGCAGAUAGGAUUUGCCUGGAGCUCCUGCCUGCUCCUACUUGAUACUAAAGAGUGCUUGAUUGCUCCAUUUCAAGUGUCCUUAGUGUGUGAGGAAAUCCCAAGUCACCAGGAAAUGCAAAGACGUAUUUCCAGGAGCCCCAACAGAUGCUUUGAGGAAGCUGCAGAUGUGCUGCAGACUGCACUGAGGAUGGGAUGUGGCAGAGUCAGAGGCAUUGUCACACAAACCCAGGGACAGAUAUGCUGGAACAGACCAAAGCCUCUGCUUUCCUUCUGGAGCACUGGGCAGAGAUAGCAAUUGGAGGAGCCGUGUCCUGGCCAAAUAAACCCAUCAGGUGCUCUGCAUCAUUUCUUGCAUAUCAAAUGAUACCACAAUGACGAAUCUGCCCUCCUCAGCCAGGAGAAGUUUGCUUUUCAGCAGCAGAACAUGGAUGGAAGAUACUGCACUGCACUGUGAGUUUAUGCUUCACUGCAACAGAGAACUGUUACCAAAUCAAACUUGGAGGGGGAGGGCUAUGUACAUUUAUAUAACAACAUAUAUGUGACUGGAAACAAAAAUAUUACUUUCAUUCAAGUAAAGUACAUAGAAAACAUC